UACGGAGGGAGCUAGCGUUGUUCGGAAUUACUGGGCGUAAAGCGCGCGUAGGCGGUUUUUUAAGUCAGAGGUGAAAGCCCAGUGCUCAACACUGGAACUACCUUUGAAACUGGAAAACUUGAAUCUUGGAGAGGUCAGUGGAAUUCCGAGUGUAGAGGUGAAAUUCGUAGAUAUUCGGAAGAACACCAGUGGCGAAGGCGACUGACUGGACAAGUAUUGACGCUGAGGUGCGAAAGCGUGGGGAGCAAACAGG
rnacentral:rRNA from 1 species